AGCGGCGAACGGGUGAGUAAUGCAUCGGAACAUGUCCAUGUCGUGGGGGAUAGCCCGGCGAAAGCCGGAUUAAUACCGCAUACGCCCGAGAGGGGAAAGCAGGGGACCGCAAGGCCUUGCGCGAUUGGGUUGGCCGAUGUCCGAUUAGCUUGUUGGUGAGGUAAAGGCUUACCAAGGCGAUGAUCGGUAGCUGGUCUGAGAGGAUGAUCAGCCACACUGGGACUGAGACACGGCCCAGACUCCUACGGGAGGCAGCAGUGGGGAAUUUUGGACAAUGGGGGCAACCCUGAUCCAGCCAUUCCGCGUGAGUGAAGAAGGCCUUCGGGUUGUAAAGCUCUUUUGUCCGGAACGAAACGGUACGGGUGAAUAUCCCGUGCUACUGACGGUACCGGAAGAAUAAGCACCGGCUAACUACGUGCCAGCAGCCGCGGUAAUACGUAGGGUGCGAGCGUUAAUCGGAAUUACUGGGCGUAAAGCGUGCGCAGGCGGUUUUGUAAGCCAGACGUGAAAUCCCCGGGCUUAACCUGGGAAUGGCGUUUGGGACUGCAAGGCUUGAGUAUGGCAGAGGGGACUAGAAUUCCUGGUGUAGCAGUGAAAUGCGUAGAUAUCAGGAGGAAUACCGAUGGCGAAGGCAGGUCCCUGGGUUAAUACUGACGCUCAUGCACGAAAGCGUGGGGAGCAAACAGGAUUAGAUACCCUG
rnacentral:rRNA from 1 species